rnacentral:lncRNA from 1 species
GUGAAUGAUAAAAGGUACUUGCGAUGCCCAGCAGCACUGACGGUGAUGCACUUGAGAAAGUUCCUCAGGAGUAAAAUGGACAUACCUAAUACUUUCCAGAUUGACGUUAUGUAUGAAGAGGAGCCUUUAAAGGACUACUACACGCUCAUGGACAUUGCCUACAUUUACACCUGGAGACGGGUAAGUAGUCCUCUGCCCUAGGUAGGCCACAUUGGCCCAGUGGAAUUGAGUGGUUUUCUUUUCCCUUUUAAUGCUGUAGAAUGGCCCACUGCCUUUGAAAUACCGAGUUCGGCCAACUUGCAAAAGAAUGAAGAUGAGUCAGCAGAGAGAUGGACUGACCGCGGCUGGAGAGCUGGAGAGUGACUCUGGGAGCGACAAGGCCAACAGCCCAGCGGGAGGUGCUCCCUCCACCUCUUCCUGCUUGCCCAGCCCCAGCACUCCAGUGCAGUCUCCUCACCCACAGUUCCCUCACAUUUCCAGUACCAUGAAUGGAACCAGCAACAGCCCCAGCGGUAAUCACCAAUCUUCCUUUGCCAGUAGACCUCGGAAAUCAUCAGUAAAUGGGUCAUCAGCAACUUCGUCUGGUUAAGAACUAAGGGGAAGAUUCUUCACCCCGUUUGAGAUACCUUCAUCCAUUACAGCUUAGAGAUGCUAAUACAUGUGACUGUCGUCCAGUUUGCUUCCUUUGUAGUGACAUUCAAUUUGGCUGUAAAAGAUGGACUAGAUGGGAUACUUUAUAUGGAUGUUAAGUGAAAAGAAAGAGUCUCUAAAGAAUUGGAUUCUGAGAAGGCGGGCAAGGUUUUUUCUGUUAGGAAAGAUGUGAAAUGGUUACUGUGACCGCUGUCUGGAACUGGAGGUGUUCUGCAGUGGGUAGACAGUGGGCCAUCCUUUGUUACUCUCCGCUGACGCCCAUAUUACAUUCUCUUCGGUUGUUCUUGUUGUUAUGCUGUUUGGUGACCCUGUAGAAAACAAGUGCUUUUAUCUCCAAGUUCAGCAAAUGGAAAGAAUAGGCAUAGAAUGCUGCAUUCUAUGUACCCAUGUCACUGUGAAUAACAAUUUCUUGCAUAUUUAGCCAUUCUAAUUCCUGUUUGAUUUUUACUUCUCUGUUGCUACGCAAAAUGAUCAAAGGAAACUUGUUUUACAAUCUGUAUGCCUAAAAAAGCGGGUACUAGCGUUUAUUUUCCUGACUUGUUUAAAUGAUUCGCUUUUGUAAGAAUCAGGUGGCAUUAUGCUUAUUGUACAAUGCCAUAUUGGUAUAUGACAUAACAGGAAACAGUAUUGUAUGAUAUAUUUAUAAAUACUAUGAAAAUAUUGUGUUUCAUACAUUCAAAAACAGUUGUAAACUUCUCUAAAUGGGUUCGACCUUUGCAGAUACACAGUGCACCCUAUGCUGAGGCUUGACACCAGCACAGAAUUGUUUUAAUGUUGAUGGCUAGUUUCAGAGUCUUUUCCACUGAGAAGCAAAUGGCAGAUCUUCAUAGCUCUGGCUUUUCUCCAAUAAGACUUUCAGAAUUAAUGUUGCAGUAAGGAAAAAUUUUAACCAAGGCAAAUGGAAACUGUUUUAAUUUUCAAUUGGUUAAAAUAGAACUAAUGUGUCUUUAAAUACUAUUUAUCAGUGGACUUCUAAAAUAGAUUUUAAAGCCAGCCAGUUAGUUGCUGAAGUAAAACAUUUUAUCUACAACUUUAUUUUAGUGUGUGUGGCACAAUAGUAAUUUCAAAUUUAAGAGUUGUUUUCAUAGUUAAAGGAAUCUGCCUUCUCUGUAAUAUCUGGAAAUAGAAGCAAUUUACUAUGAGUUUCUACAGGUAUUUUUAAAUAGAGCAAACAUGUUGAGUUUAAAAUAUGAAUGACCCUACCAAGUCUCAGUUUGCUUUGGUCGAACUUAGCGUGUGUUUAUCAGCCACCAGUUAUCUGUGAGGACGUUUCUUCCAUAUGAAUCGUUUCAUGUUUGUAUGGACCCUGUAGCUAAGCAUUUCAUGGUCUACAGUCUGCAAAAGAAGCACAAUUCUAUUGCUUUGUCUUGCUCAUAGCCAUUAAAUCAUUACUUUUACAUAUAUUGCUGUUACUUCUGCUUUCUUUAAAGAUUUAGUAAAUGUUUUAUGAAGCCACAAAAUACAUAUAUUUUUAUUUUGACCUAAAUUUGUACAGUCCCAUUGUGUGUGUGUCAUUUCUAAUUAUAGAUGUAAAAUUGAAUUUCAUUUUUAAUUGGGAAAAUUCAAUAAAAGGAUAUUCAUUUAGAAAAUAGCUAUGAUCUUUAAUUAAAAUUCUGCUAUGAAAAGCACAAUGUGCAGAAGUUUUGGGAACCCUGUAGACUGUAAGAGCUAAAACCUAAGGAGAAUAGUUGUUGUCAAAUGAUGUUGUCAGUAAUUGCUUUGUUGUACAUUGCUUGGAAGCCCAAUGAAAGGAGUAUCUGUUUAUUUACAAUCUUUGAAGCAAAAGUUACCAAUGUUUACCAAUUUUGGUGAAUUUAACUCAUUUUUCUAGACUUUUCUCGAGGUUUUCACAGCGUUAUCUAAGACAAAAGACAUCUCACCCUCUAUGAUGGACUUACUUCUGAGUGCUUUUGUUAAAGCCUCAGAGGCUUACUAAGCAGUGUGUCACCAUACUUGAAAACAUUUCCAUUUAUUGUAUCUGGGAGGAGGCUUUUUACCCUUACUCAAUUUGAAAAUUGCUUAAGCUUAAAGGAUAUUUCAGUCAAAAUUUGUCUUUUAAUAAAACAACAGAAAGAUA